rnacentral:siRNA from 1 species
CUGUGAAUUGUGUUGCUGUGAGU